rnacentral:tRNA from 1 species
CAGGUAGGGUGGCCGAGCGAAGGCGGUGGGUUGUAGCCCCGAGGAUAGAGGUUUUAACUCCUCUCCCUAC